UACGGAAGGCAGCAGUGGGGAAUAUUGCACAAUGGGCGCAAGCCUGAUGCAGCCAUGCCGCGUGUAUGAAGAAGGCCUUCGGGUUGUAAAGUACUUUCAGUCGUGAGGAAGGUGUUAAGGUUAAUAACCUUAGCAAUUGACGUUAGCGACAGAAGAAGCACCGGCUAACUCCGUGCCAGCAGCCGCGGUAAUACGGAGGGUGCGAGCGUUAAUCGGAAUUACUGGGCGUAAAGGGCACGCAGGCGGUUAAUUAAGUUGGAUGUGAAAUCCCCGGGCUUAACCUGGGAAUGGCAUUCAAGACUGGUUAGCUAGAGUCUUGUAGAGGGGGUAGAAUUCCAUGUGUAGCGGUGAAAUGCGUAGAGAUGUGGAGGAAUACCGGGUGGGCGAAGGCGGCCCCUGGGACAAAGACUGACGCUCAUGUGCGAAAGCGUGGGGAGCAAACAGGAUUAGAUACC
rnacentral:rRNA from 1 species